CAAACCACUAAAACCCAAAACAAAUACUCCCUCCCCUUUGUUAUUCACGUGAACCCCAAAAAGAAACCAAAGAAAAAAAAAAGAAAACCCUCCCCUUCUCUCUACUCUUCACGUGAAAACCAAAAGAAAGGAAACCAAAACCCUCUUUCACUAUUCACGUACAUUGCAAACCUUCAAGAACUCUCUCUCCUUCCUUCACGCCGUCGCACUUCCUCUGCCGCCGACCCACUGCCGCCGCCGGACCGCCGCCACCGCAAAGCACCACCGUGUGCCGCCGUGCUCAGCCCUGCCGCAAGCCACCUCUGUCCGCCAGCUGUUGCUCUCUCUCUCCUCCUUCUUGAAUUGGCGGAGAAUUCUCUUUAGGCGACUUUUGAAAGUGUUAAAGUGGCCUAUCAGUUUGUUUACACAAGGUACGUACAUACCUGUGUGCUUGGAAUGUGUGCUAAUUGUUGAAACCAUGUUGAAUUGUUGAUGAACUUGGUUAUGUUAAUGUUGUUGAUGAACUUAGUCAGGUUGAAAUUGCAUGUUUGAUACUGUUGGAUGAACAUAUUAAACCUUUAUUGCAUUUUGAGGAUUAUAACAUGUUAGUAUGGAAGAUUGAUGCAAACAUGUUUGAUUGGGAACACUAGAUUAUUCAGUAUAUAAUUCAGAUCAGUUAAUUGUUGUUCCCUUUUAGCUUUUCACUACUUUAUGAGGGCGGAGGACCUUAUUUAGUAAGUUGAAACCUUAUACCCAUAUUCAGGGGUUGAUCAGUAUUAAAGAAAAGAUUGGAGUUAAUUGGAAUGAGUCUUGUUUGAUGCCUUUGUGAUCACUUACUCAAUUCCAAGAUAAAAACAGUUGUAAAUAAAUGUGAGUUGCAUGCCUUAUGUGAUUGUUGAGUCAUAACAGGGUGUCAAUUUGUAAAUCAUGUAAAGUGAAACUGAGUAGCAAUAGCUUUAGACUGUGCACGUCUAAAGUGACGGACAAACAGGAGUUGGGGUUCAUGGUGGUAGCCCAUGGCCUUUCAUUCGGACCGGAUUGAUCACCGCGUCCUAUUUUCAGUCAAACGUUCCUCGAUAUCGCAGGUCACUGAGGUUACGGAGUCGCGCCCGUACCUCGUCUUCCUUAGUGAAGACCUCUAGCUAGAAAACUCGGUCCAUUGCCUAUUUCAAUUAAAACAAUAUUAUUGUUAUAAAAGUCCAGUCCAGUCUAGCCUAGCCUAGUUAAGUAUGGUCGUUAAAUUACCAUAUUUUGUCCGCCCUUGUUUAUGUUCAUUAGUAUCAUGUUAGGGUUGUUCGUUAUUAGUAUCAUAUUAGGAUUAUUAUUGUGUUAGUAUGUAGUACUCAGCUUUGCUGAUUACGU